rnacentral:lncRNA from 1 species
ACCAAUCCCGGCCUGCGCCCUCCCCCCUCCCCGCCCGCCUAGCGCCCGCGCCCUGGGACGUCCGGGGGCCUGUGACCCGGAGGCGCUGGGGCUGUCCUGGGUCGUCACAUGCGAGAAAUCGUCUCACCCCAGCCAGUGUGACGGAGUGAGAGCAAAAGAAAGUUUUGAUAGCAGCGUACGAUUUAUAUUCAGCUGUAUGCUGGGCAGGUCCAACUUGGCAUUUCUUGGCUGUAUCUCUGAAGGAAAGUCAUCUUAAUCUCUAUGAGCCUCCAUUUCCUCAGCUGUAAAAUGGGAAGAUCUUCCUCACACUGCUGUGACCCCACGUUAUCAAGAAAAGUACAGGAAAUCUGCCGUUGGGAGAGCGGCAGCACCCAUGUGGAGUGCCACUUUCUGAUCUGGGACUUAAACAACAUUGCUGUUUUCCUCCUUGCUCCAAGUCAUCCAUUUUGACAAUUUUAUAUCAGCAUGGACCCUUCACCAAGACUGAAAUAACUCUGUUAUUGAGGAUCUUGUUCUGUCGCCUAGGCUGGAGUGCAGUGACGUGACACAAUCACAGCUCACUGCAGCCUCGACCUCCCAGGCUCAAGUGAUCCUCCUACCUCAGCCUCCUAAGUAACUGGGACUAUAGGUGCAUGCACCACCAUACCCAGCUAAUUUUUAAGGGCCUCUCCACAUGCCUCUCGCCCAACACCAUGAUGGGGGGACACCCAUGGAACCUGCUUGGCAUUAACACAUGAGCCGCCCAGAAGUGAAGGGGAGCUAACAUUCCAUGGGAUGACUCGAGAGGAGCCAAUGGAUAACUGUCCCCCUUCUUCCAGUGAGUUCUGAAGAGAGGAAAUGGCAGCCUAACUCCAGGCAGGGCCCGGGCUCAGAAGGGGGUCUACAGGGCUGAAGAGGCAGCUGGCCAGAGAUUCCACAGGAAGCAUCUUGUUGACACAUCUUCAUCACUUUGGAAUUUGAGCAACAACAUUUACCCCUUCUGAAACUCACCCAGAGGAAGCGGAUUUUCUGACGCAUAUGAAGAGUGAGAACUGUCUACAUCUAAGUCUUCUUUGAGAACAAUACCAGCUGAGCGGCUAUUUACAUUCCAGCUUCUUUUGAGAAUCUCUGAAGAUGAUUAAGUCAUUGUCAGCUGGCCCAGAACCAUAUCCUGCUCCACAAGCCUCGUCCUUGGCAAGAAGUUGCACCUGCCCAGAGAGAAAACCUUUUGAAACUGGCACAAAGGCACUGGAGAGACUGGCAGGGCCCCCUACUUGACGAUCUGGCUCAUCCAUCUGCACACUGACCACGCUAAGAGCUGUCUGCAGUGAUGGAAACCUUCUCUAGCUGUGCUGUCCUCUAUAGUGGCACCAGCUGCCUGUGGCUACUGAGCACUUCAACUGUGGCUGCAGAGACUAUGUUAAAUUGUAUUUAAUCAUAAUUAAUUUAAUUGUAAACAACUACAUGUGGCUAGUGGUUUCUGUACUGGGCACUGCAGGUGCACAUUUCCUGCUGGCCAUGGACAGUAAGCUCCAUAAGAGACUAAUUGUGCCUGGUUUGCUUAUAGGCUUAUCCUCAGCACCUGCACCAGCCUAGAAUAUGAUUGGCACUCUAUUAAUUAAAAGUUCCCAGGUAAAUGAA